GACGAACGCUGGCGGCGUGCCUAACACAUGCAAGUCGAACGGAAAGGCCCCGCUUUUGUGGGGUGCUCGAGUGGCGAACGGGUGAGUAACACGUGAGUAACCUGCCCUUGACUUUGGGAUAACUUCAGGAAACUGGGGCUAAUACCGGAUAGGAGCUCCUGCUGCAUGGUGGGGGUUGGAAAGUUUCGGCGGUUGGGGAUGGACUCGCGGCUUAUCAGCUUGUUGGUGGGGUAGUGGCUUACCAAGGCUUUGACGGGUAGCCGGCCUGAGAGGGUGACCGGCCACAUUGGGACUGAGAUACGGCCCAGACUCCUACGGGAGGCAGCAGUGGGGAAUAUUGCACAAUGGGCGGAAGCCUGAUGCAGCAACGCCGCGUGCGGGAUGACGGCCUUCGGGUUGUAAACCGCUUUCGCCUGUGACGAAGCGUGAGUGACGGUAAUGGGUAAAGAAGCACCGGCUAACUACGUG
rnacentral:rRNA from 1 species